rnacentral:lncRNA from 10 species
AGGCGAGAGCCACCGCGCCCAGCCUGGACUGCAUAUUUAGAUUCAUUUUUCUCUUCGAGAGAAUCAAGCGAAGAAUGGUGUCUUCCUGGGCUUUUCUGUGUAGGGGUGCUUCUUAAACACGAUGCGACUCUGAGACUGAACCAGGAGUGUCUCAGCUUCCUUAAGAGUUACAUUGCAGGCUCCCGAGGUAUGUGCCAGAACUGUGUUAAGUACUUUACAGAUGAAGAAACAGGGUCAGAGAUGAUGGGUGACUUGUCCCCAGUCACAGCUAAUAAGUGACAGAGUUUGGACAAAAAUCUAGCCAGGUCUGAUGUUCUAGCCUAAGGUCUUUCAGACAGCUCUUCCCUGGGAAGCCACUGACCCCUGGCUCAUUCCUGCCCCCUCAUCCUUCCUGCCCCAGUAUGCAGGGGUAGGCCUUCCCUCGGGGCCUGGCUGAGUCUAUACCCUAGCCAGCCCCGCCAUAUCAGCCUCUAGAGACAGCCUUCCUGACACUCCCCAGACAGCCAGGCCCCAGGGCGUGCAGCCAAGCGGAACCUCUCUGGGUGCCCCCAGCCUGAGCUCUGGGUGUGCUGCUCCCAGUCACAGCCCAGGAAUGUGGGCAUCCAAGCAUCAGCAGCAGACAUGCUCGCUGGCUGUCAGCCGAACCAGGGCCCCUGAAAACUGACAGGAGCUGAAAGAACCAUUAGACAGGAAGGCUGGACUGAGAGGGCAAAUUUCAAGUCACCUGAGCUGUGCAUGGCAACGCAAAGCAGCUAAAGCUGGUAAUGUUGGGAAAGCCACUGCCUGAUGGGCCUCCGUUUCCCCAUCUGUAGACUGUGGAUGAUAUCUGUUGGCCUGCCUGUUUCACCAGGCACCUCGGUUGGUAAUAGGGCCAGGCCAGGAAUCCGGGCCUCCGGGCUCAGCUCUCACUGACUCAGUGUCGGACCCUGGGUAGAUCUCUCUUCUCAGAGCCUUGGCUUCUUUAUUGUAAAACGGAGGAACUGCCACGACAGUGCUUCUCAGGCUUAGUUGUACUCACGUAGCACUGGGCCCUUGUUAAUCCACGGAUUCUGAUUCAGCAGGUCUGGGGCGGGGCCUGAGAGUCUGCAUUUCUAACCAGCUUCCAGGGUCUGAUGCUGCUGGCCCUGGGGCCACAUUUAAGAGCUGGGGCCUGGAGGAGCCAUAUGGGCUUUCAGGUCAGACAUUCCUAAACUUCCAGGGCUCUGGAUGCCUCCUUCCCUUCAUCGCAGCCCCCACGGGGCUGUCCUGAAACUCCUAGGUGGGAGCACUUCCUCUCUUCCCUGCGACCCUCCGCUUCAUCUGCACCUGCCUCACCUUCAGAAUCAAGAAGUCUCCAGCUCCUCCUGCCUCCCCCUGGGACCUGCCCUUCUCCCAGCCCUUAGUGGGAGACAGAACCCCAUACCUAUUGAGGAUGUGAAGAGCUCAGACCUCUGGAGGAUUAGAGAGCAGGGCUUCUAGGAAGUCUCUCAUCCCAGGGAUCUUGCUGACUCAGUAGCUUUCCUGCCCCUCCUGCCAUGCCCGCCCAACCUCAGUAGCUGCUGGAGGGGAUUUGUAUGCCAUCAGGAUUU